GGUAGCGAAAUUCCUUGUCGGGUAAGUUCCGACCUGCACGAAUGGCGUAACGACUUCCCCGCUGUCUCGACCAGGGACUCAGUGAAAUUGAAUUCUCGGUGAAGAUACCGAGUACCCGCGGCUGGACGGAAAGACCCCGUGGACCUUUACUAUAGCUUGGCAGUGGGAUUCGGGUUAGCUUGUGUAGGAUAGGUGGGAGACAGUGAAGUUGGGACGCCAGUCUCGGCGGAGUCACCCUUGAAAUACCACCCUGGCUAGCCUGGCUCUCUAACUCAGCCCGGUGAAUCCCGUGGCGAGGACACUGUCUGGUGGGUAGUUUGACUGGGGCGGUCGCCUCCUAAAGAGUAACGGAGGCGCGCGAUGGUUCCCUCAGCCUGAUUGGAAACCAGGCGUCGAGUGUAAAGGCAUAAGGGAGCUUGACUGCGAGACUGACAGGUCGAGCAGGUGCGAAAGCAGGCCUUAGUGAUCCGGCGGUUCCGUAUGGAAGGGCCGUCGCUCAACGGACAAAAGGUACCCCGGGGAUAACAGGCUUAUCUCCCCCAAGAGUUCACAUCGACGGGGAGGUUUGGCACCUCGAUGUCGACUCAUCGCAUCCUGGGGCUGAAGCAGGUCCCAAGGGUAUGGCUGUUCGCCAUUUAAAGCGGUACGCGAGUUGGGUUUAGAACGUCGUGAGACAGUUCGGUCCCUAUCCGCCGUGGGCGUAGGAGAUUUGAGGAGGGCUGCCCCUAGUACGAGAGGACCGGGGUGGACGAACCACUGGUGAUCCUGUUGUUUCGCCAGAAGCAUCGCAGGGUAGCUAUGUUCGGAACGGAUAACCGCUGAAAGCAUCUAAGUGGGAAGCCGGCUCCAAGACUAGAUCUCCCGUGAUUUUUAUCACCUAAAGGGCCCUCGAAGACUACGAGAUACAUAGGCUGGGUGUGUACGCGCAGCGAUGCGUUUAGCUAACCAGUACUAAUAGCCCGUGCGACUUGACCAU
rnacentral:rRNA from 1 species